GCCUUCUUAGCUCAGUGGUAGAGCGUCGGUCUCGUAUGUAGAAAAGAUGAAAACGGAAGAAAACCGAAGGUCGAGAGUUCAAUUCUCUCAGAAGGCA
rfam:Daphnia pulex DAPPTscaffold_25_Cont1487, whole genome shotgun sequence.